GUACGGGAGGCAGCAGUCGAGAGGCUUCUACAAUGGGGGAAACCCUGAUAGAGCGACGCCGCGUGGGUGAUGAAGGUCUUCGGAUCGUAAAGCCCUUUCAGCAGAGACGAAUGCGAUGAAUGCUAAUAUCAUUGAUUGCGAGACGGUAUCUGCAGAAGAAGCUCCGGCUAACUCCGUGCCAGCAGCCGCGGUAAGACGGAGGGAGCAAGCGUUGUUCGGAUUUACUGGGCGUAAAGGGCGUCUAGGCGGGCCAGCCAGUCAGGUGUGAAACCCCCCGGCUCAACCGGGGAUCUGCACUUGAUACUGCUGGUCUUGAGUACGGAAGAGGAAGGCGGAAUUCCUGGUGUAGCGGUGAAAUGCGUAGAUAUCAGGAAGAACACCGGUGGCGAAGGCGGCCUUCUGGUCCGAUACUGACGCUAAAGCGCGAAAGUGUGGGGAGCAAACAGGAUUAGAUACCCCGGUAGC
rnacentral:rRNA from 1 species